GUAUUUCAAUGAUUUCACGUACAAAAUUGAACAUGGUGGUCAAGUGAACGGAGUUGUUAACCUUGAACUCUUUGAACUCUAUCAGGUCAAAAAUUAACAUAACAUAGCCAAUUGCUUUCAUGUAUAUUUUAUGAAUGAAAAUAGUAGCGUCAUUACGGAGCGUGUUAUGGUUUAUUAUUAGACAACAAUAAUUAUGGCUGAAAAAGGAGCGUAUUUAACGGAUACAGUCAAAGCUAAACCCUCGAUUUUUGAAAUUGUUGCGCAAGAAUCUUUAGCCUCUACACUCGAGCCAGUCUUCAAAAAAAUCAUCUCGUAUUUGGUGUUGGUCAAUCCACAUCGAUAUGGAUGGCUUGAAAGAUGGUGCGAUGAGGCGUAUCUGGUUUUUAAUGCCGCUCUACAAUAUCACUAUCUCAAAAAAUAUUCGGCAUCAUUCUCCGAAACAUUUUAUGGGUUGAAACGUUCUUCAGUCGUGGCAGGUUCAGAUGGAAAGUUAUCUACUAAGCAAGAGAAAAUUUCUUUAUUGCUGUUAGUCGUCUUUCCGCACUUCAGAACCAAAUUAUUUAGGCUUGCGGAAGAAUAUAAAUUCGAAGUUGCUGAUGGUAAAAUACCUCAGAAGCGAUGGCAGAAACUUGUAAGGAAAUUGGUAAUAAAUGGAAACAUGAUAUUUCAUGUUAUUUAUGAAUGCCUAAUACUUUAUCGGUACCUGAGGUACAUGGCUGGACGGUCAGAAUAUUCAACUCCGCUUCUUUGGCUGGCUUCUGUUACAUUGUCUUACGCAGAUGGUAAAAAAUUCCUCACCAUCACUGACCUUCUGAUGAAGAUAAGACUCGGAACAUUGACCUUCAGUAAUGGCAUAGAUUUGUUUGGAAUGCUUUUUACUAGAUCACUUGAAUUUGGAGCUUUCUUUCUCCAGUUUCUUCGAUGGUGGAAUCAAGAAAAUUAUUACGUAAACCUGAUGGCUCUGCCUACACCUGUGCCUCCUGAGGUAAAUGAAAGGUUCCAAAAAUAGCGUUACAGUAUAAAGGAUUAUGUCCAAUCUGUCGGAAAGGUCGGCAAAUCCCCACAGCUCUGCCAGUUUCAGGGUACGUCUUCUGCUACCAGUGUAUUCUAAAAUACAUACGAGAAUACGAGAAAUGCCCGAUCACAAACUAUCCAGCCAAAGAGGAUGACUUGAUACGGUUAUAUGUAGAGUAGACAGUUUCAGAAUAACGUUUCAACUACAUACACUCACGAUACCAAAUGUGAAGAUGCACACAAAAUAGAAAUAAGUCUGAAGCUUCACUGAAAAGUAAUUAUGAUAUUACUUGAAGAAUAAUUGCUGCCUUCCUGUUUAGUAAAAUAGUAUAACAAUCCGUGUGGAUUGGGAAUAAUUGUGAUUCUUAACUUUUUUAUACUGAUGGAUACAUGUGACAGCAUCAAAUACCGAGUACUUGUAUAGAUAUGUAAGGUUUAGGUUUUUCAACUGUUAUACGUUCCAUGUGAAGAUACAUCAAUUUAUUCUUAUUUUCCUACCAUAAAAACACACAAGUGUAUAAAAAAGUGUAGUGUAAGAAACUUUUUUUGUUUCUGAAUAAUAAUUGAUUGAGAUAUAUAAGUAUAGAACUUUGCAAAGAAUGGAAUUCAUAAGCGUGGAUAAAAUAUGGAUGUCAGCAAUAGAGACAAAUAUUAAAUUACCUUAUUUAACUACGUGUACAUACAUGUAAACUUCUGCUAAGGUAGCAUGAUUUCUUGUAUUAAAUAUACUGUGAUUAUGUGAUAUUCGAUUAAA